CCGCCAAAGUCGAGAGUCAAGCACCGCUAGCCGGGGAGGAUAGCAGUGCAGCGCUGCCCUGUGCUGGGGACAACUGGUGGUGAUGCUGUGCACCGAUGGAAACUGAAAUGCAAUCACUGUGCUGCAGCAAAUUUCACAGAUGGCGGUUUCUUUUGGAAAGAGUUGCUGAGUCUACAGAGGAAGGGGCACAAUAACACUACACCAAGGCUGUGGGCCACUUAUGGACAAAGGAGUGCUUGAGACGUACUUCAGGAUCCCGAGAAGAAACUGGAAAAAACAACCAAAGCCAGUGGGGCGAAACGGAUGUCUGAGCAUAGAAACACUCCUGGACGAAUGAGGGACUACACCGUCUUAUCCUGGAUCAAGCUGUUGCACUCAAUGGGUGGAGCGUGUUCCAAGCUGACAGAAUACAAGACUCCGAGCCGUGUCAACCGACCUCCAAUAACGACUCCGUGGCUGCAGCACACCCCGAUGUGCAGGAAGGUGCGAGGGGCCGUUCAUCACUGCUUGCAGCUUUAAAUAUGUAUCUAUCUUUUUUCUCCCCACAUUCCUGUGUACAUAACAGUCCUGUCUAUUCUUUUACCUCUCUUUGUUUAGCUUUAUUGUCCUUGUUCUUAGCUGUUAUUUCUAUAUCUGUGUAAGCACAUUGAGAGCAAUGAAAAAAGCAGAAUCAGCUUUAUUGGCCAAGUAUGUGUACACAAACAAGGUAUUUGACUAAUUGUUUAGUCUAUAAAAUAUCAAUGAAAAUAGUUCAAAUUCCCAGAGCCAAAGGUGACUUCUUCAUAUUCUUCACAUUGCUUUUUUUGUCCAAUCAACUGUCCAAAGCCCAAAAAUGAAAUUUACAAUGAUAUGAAACAGAGAAAAGCAAAAAAUCCUCACAUUUCAGAAGUUGGAACCAGCAAAUAUUCAGUAUUUUUGUUGGAUACAUUACUUAAACAAGUAAUUGAUUUGCAGAAUUGAUUGAUUAAUUUCCAAUCAACCAACUAUAUAUCAAUAAAUCAGCUAAUCAUUACAGCACUGUACAGGAGUUGCUAAAAUUAGCUCCAUUUAAAUGUAUCAUGCUGCUUACAUGAUUCUUAAGUACAUUUUCCUAGUAAUACUUCUGUUUUAAGUCAAAUGCUGGACUUUUAUUUGUUAUGGAACAUUUUUUAUAUUGUGGUAUUGCUGCUUAUAUUUAAGAAUCAAAAUUCUCACCACCAGCACAUCCACAAAGACAUGUCCACUAACAUAAAAUACACACCACACUAUUCACCCCACACAAAUUACAUUUCAAGUCUGAAAACAACUCUUUUCUGCUUGCAUCUUGCCUUUAUUGUUUAAAAGUAGAGCACUAUUUCCAUUCUCCCCUUUAUCCAACCUCCUCCUCUCUCUCCUUAUUCCUUCCUUCCUUUUCUAUCUUCCCUCCACCUUACAUCUCUAUAUAUAAAACGUUCCACACUUUACUGUUCCUUUCUCCUACCUUCCUUCAUCUCUUUCCAUAUAUUGCCAUUUCCCUUUUCUAUUCCUUCCUCUUCUUCCUCUAUGCCUGGCUUAAUGCAUUCACACUACCCCUUCAUUCAUGCAGAUGUUUUAUUCAUCAAAGCCAGUAUUAUUCAACCACCCCCCGGCAUCAGUUUGCUCCGCCCUACCUCCCAUUCCAUCGCCCCCCCGUCUCCACCACAACACAUGGUACAUCCCUAGAGGCCAAUACACUCCCAGUUUCUUCCCUCUUCUCCUUCCUCUUGUCUUGCCUCUGUAGGUCUCACUUCCACUCCCCUUUUUGGUCUUUUUUCCUUAUACACCCCAUAACAAAAACAGGCGCCUUCAAGGGUUCUACGGAUAUUGAGCUCUGGGUAGACAUGUGAUGAGUCAGAAAUGUCCUGAUUUAGUGAAGUAGUAAUCAUGAAUGUUUUCACAUAAAUAAAAGUUGUGUUUUGCUACUCUGUCAUCAAUUAAUUUUACACAGUUCAUGCCAUAUCCUAUUAGAGCUUUUCCAUGUGCUGUUCUUAAUAAUCUGGUGUAAAGGAUGUAAUGUAUUUACCAUUUCUGAUUUUUUUGGAAUAAAAUGACAAAAAGUUGGGCAGAUAGUGUGAGAAGCAAUAACCACCAUGGCUGAACAAAGCAUACAGAAAGUACAGUAAGUAAGAGAAAGACAUAAUCCCACCCACAGUGUUGACUGUGACUGACACGAGAAGUGUAGUGCAGAAACACCACAGCUUAGCAUCACACAUAGAGUUGUGGAUUACCAUUUUGUAGUAUACAAAGUAUAAAAUGGCAAAUCAAAGUGAGCAAGCCUGUGUUCUUAACUUAUUUUAACAGUAAAGCAUUUUAUACCAAAGACAUGGAGAAUACUUUAUUCUGAUUGGCCAAAUGGCAGAGUUGGGACAAAGUCAUUGUUUUGUAAGUCACAAGUAAGUCUCAAGUUUGGGCAAUGAAGUGCCAAGUCAAGACUGGUCAGUCUCAUGUCAAGUAAAGACCAACAAGUCCAUAUAUUUCCAGCUGUGAUUCAUAAAAUGUCCCCAUGUCUUAAUAAAAUGAUCAUGGCUACCAUCAUACAGUCUUAUUAGUUGUUCCAUUAUUUACUGUCUAUUGAGCAGCUCCAUGAUUUGUUUUUGGAUGACAUCACCACUACAGAUUGUCUCUCUGCUGUCUAAGAAUGGGUUAGUUAAAAUAUACAAAUUAAAACUGAACUGAAUAUCCCAGAAAUAACAUUUCAUUCUAGAGUAGAUUACACCUUUAAAUGAUUCUACAAAGCACCAAAGAGGCUCUGUGUGAAAAUGUGAGCAUGAUACAAUAAAUGCAUUUCUAUUUGUUAGUUCUUUACUUAUUAACUUUUAUUUGAACUUCUUAUACUUCCUCCCUCAUACAGUCUCUCUCCUCCUCUUCCUACACUGACUUAACAUCUUCUCUAUUCUUCCUUCAGGCAUCUUUGUUUAAUUUUUCUGUAUUAUUUGUCUGUGCCACCCUGUUUGUACUUUUUCCACGUUAUUCCAUUUGUUUCCUUUUCUUCUUUGCUUUUCGCUCUCUCCACUCUCCACUGCUUCCCUUUUAUAAUACUCCUCUUGUGGUUAUUUCCUCUUUACACCUCAUCGUAAUGUUCUUUUUGUUUUGGCCUUUUGUCAUUUAUUUCAGUCUCUUACAACAUAUUCUUCUAGUCACUUCCCUUCCUCUUCCCUAGUUUCUCUAUGCUAAGUUUCCUUUCUAUAUACCUGUUUCAUUUUUGCUGUAUUUCCUUUCCAUACAAGUCGCUAUCUGCCUCAAAGCCUUGCUUCCAUUUAUUUCAAUCUCCUGCCUUUUUUCCCUUCUGCUCCCUCUGUCCAAUUUCUUGAUGUGCUCUCCCCCCAUUUCCACUUUCAUCUGCCUCAACCUCCCUCACAAUCCUCUUUUGCCUGUUUUUUGUGGCCUUUUUCAAAACAUCAGAUCCUGGAUAUUGAUAACCAUCAACUCCCACAUUUAUUUUCGAUUCUCUUUUUCUUUCUCUCUUCACCCUGCAGCAUUUUCUUUUUAAUUAUUUUGUUCUCCCCCUUUCACUCUCUCUCAUUUUCUAUUCCUCCUUUUCUACUGCAUAAUUUUAUAUUUUUUUUAUUUUUUUUACAUCCAAGGUUGAACUUUUUCUCCCUUUUCUCUCCAAACUUGGAAUGUCCAAUUCACCCUGAUUAAUGUUCAGCUUAAACAGAUAUUGACUUUACAUAUACAUCUCAACAAGUCAAGCAGGGUUGAUUUACAUUAUGGAUUCACAAAAACACAGGUAAUUUAGUAAUCAUGUAAAGUAAGUCUGUAACUCUGAAAACACCCCAAAAAUAAUCUGGCAUGCUGACAAAAUCAUGGUCAUGUUCACAUGAGGCUGCUGCUCAGCAUCAGGGACACAUCUCUAAUAUUGUGCACAUUCAAAGUACUGUAUAUGUAACUCUUGGAAGACCAUGUAUAUGCAUAAGUAUCCACUGUGGCCAAAAUACCACAAGAGCAUCUCGUACACUGAUUACAGGCACGGCAUUAAUUUUUAAUUCAUUACAUGACAUAUCUCCCAUAAACACAGCAGAGGGGCCUGAGGUACUUGUAAAAAGUGUUCUUCGCCUCCCUCCCUUUCUCUUGCCUCGUGCUUUCUAACUUAUCUCCCAAAAACAAAUUUAAUUUCCUCUCUCCUUCCUCUCACACUGUUUAAUGCAUUUAUCCCUCUCAACUCAGCAAAUCAUGUCCCCUGCAGUGGAUUUUUUCAUAUAACAUGCACAUUUCCAAAUCAUGUCUAUUAUGUAUUACCUCUGUUUUCUACCCUCCUACACUAUCUCUCAUUUCAAACCCUAUUCCAAAAACUAAGUGGUGUCAUUGCUCUGGCUGUUUGCA